rnacentral:rRNA from 1 species
UACGUAGGGUGCAAGCGUUGUCCGGAAUUAUUGGGCGUAAAGAGCUCGUAGGCGGUCUGUCGCGUCGGCUGUGAAAACCUGGGGCUUAACCCCGGGCCUGCAGCCGAUACGGGCAGACUAGAGUUCGGCAGGGGAGACUGGAAUUCCUGGUGUAGCGGUGAAAUGCGCAGAUAUCAGGAGGAACACCGGUGGCGAAGGCGGGUCUCUGGGCCGAUACUGACGCUGAGGAGCGAAAGCGUGGGGAGCGAACAGG